rnacentral:rRNA from 1 species
UACAGAGGGUGCGAGCGUUGUUCGGAAUUACUGGGCGUAAAGCGCGCGCAGGCGGCCCUUUAAGUCCGUCGGUCAAAUGCCGGGGCUCAACCCCGAUGCAUGCCGAGGAUACUGGAGGGCUGGAGACACGUAGAGGCAAGCGGAAUUCCGGGUGUAGCGGUGGAAUGCGUAGAGAUCCGGAAGAACACCGGAGGCGAAGGCGGCUUGCUGGGCGUGAUCUGACGCUGAGGUGCGAAAGCUAGGGGAGCAAACGGG